CUCUCUCUCCCCCCGCCCCGCCCCCCUCAUGAGUCAAGAGGGCCAACUGGCGCUUGCACAGAGUGAGGGCGUGGCUCCGAAGGGAAUGACACGGGUGCCGGCGACCAUCCAGCUGACACAAGCGCCCCGCCCUGGGCGCACCCUACAGAGCUCGGACCGAGAAGCCCAGGGCGUUGUUCAGGCUGCUGGUGGGUGACCUGGUUGGCUUACUUUGGCCACGAAGAGUUCCAUUCUCAAAGCGGAUUUCCUAGCAGAUGGCAGCUACUUCUGUUCACCACUACCAUGUUUGAAGGAUACAGGAGCUAACUUUCUGGAAUUAACUGGCAUAGGAAAGAAGGAAAAGAGAUGCAAAGUUUCCAUGGGGCCAGAAAUAACCUUCUUCACACUUACGAAAGUCAUUUCUCCAGGUCUGCAGAAAAGAACAUUUACAUCUGGAAAGGAAAGGGUUAAGAACCAGGAGCUCAAACAAGAGAAUCAAGUAUUACAGAGCAAAGUGAUCCAUUAGAUGCCACCUCACCUGGUUUCCAGAAAGAGGUGAAGUAAAAUGGUGACUAUGGAGGUUUCGGCCAGUGUUGACAUGUGUCAGUCGGAUGGGCUGGCCACAUUUGAUGGGGGUUCCCCUUUCACACACCGUGGCAGUCUUCCCCCGUAUCCUCCAGUAACUGUUGCUGUCAUCCACAGAGGUUACACCUGUCACUGACUGCUGGCCACUACCUACAGUCAAAAACAGAAAAAAAAAGAGAGAGCAAGUAAACUCAACCUAAUUCUAUGGCUCUAAAAAUGUGCUCUGUGUCAUAAAACUGGCAGGAGGGAUGGGGAGGGAACAUUACAGCUGGUAAUAUUUUUUCUAUGACAUUAAAAUAAAAUAUUUAUGAAAAUAUUAAA